GACGAACCGUGCGAACGUUGUUCGGAUUCACUGGGCUUAAAGGGCGCGUAGGCGGGCACUCCAGUCAGGGGGUGAAAUCUUUCGGCUUAACCGGAAAAGUGCCUCUGAUACUGAGUGUCUCGAGGGAGGUAGGGGCGUGUGGAACUUCCGGUGGAGCGGUGAAAUGCGUAGAUAUCGGAAGGAACGCCGGUGGCGAAAGCGACGCGCUGGACCUCUACUGACGCUGAUGCGCGAAAGCCAGGGGAGCAAACGGG
rnacentral:rRNA from 1 species